AUCUAGACCCUGAAGUGAAAAAUAGUCUAAAUUUCGAUAGCUUAAGCUUGAGGGGCAGAAUAAUUUAAACCAGGUGUUCGCAAACUUGAGCGUGCAACAGAGUCACCUAGGGCCUUGUUAAAACACAAGUGACUGGGCCCAACCCCGGAGUUUCAGGUCUGGGGGCCUGUCGGAGAAUCUGCCUCUCUAACAAGUUCGCAGGUGGUGAUGAUGUUGCUGGUCCGAGGACCACACUGAGAGCCGCUGCUGUGGGCUUGUUAAAAGGCAGAUUCACUGGCCCACUCCCAGGAUUACUGAGGGUGGGCCCAUGAAUCUAAACCCAAUAGGUGAUUCUGAUACAGGUGCUCUGAGGAGCUGGAUAUGCAUCUUGGAGGCAGGACGUCACCUUGUUUUCAAGGGCCAAGACCUCAGGACCAUAAUUGGCUCACCUAUGUGUGUAGGGGGAGAAGGCUGCUGGCAGCCUUCAUUAAUUCUCUGGAACGUAGUGUAUUUUGAGUCUAAGGUGCUGCCAGCCAGGCAGAUGCAGCUCCAGGUAUCCGGCUGGAAUCUACUAGAACAGGAAGGGCCUGGCUGUCCAGGGAAGCUGCAUCUCAAGUUUCUGGGCAUGGCCUCUAAUGGAAGAAAGUGUGAUAAACCCUCAGGUUCUCUAAAGCAGUGGUUUGCAUACCGUGGGCCCUGGACCAACAGGAUCAGCAUGACCUGGGAACUUGUAGACAUGCAGAUUCUCAGGCCCUUCCCCAAAUCUACUGAAUCUGAAACUCUGGGGGUGGGGCCCAGCCAUAUGCCCUGCAAGUGAUUCUGAUGCACAGUCAAGUGUGGGAAACACUGCUCUAAAGAAUGACUAGUACACUCGCAGGUCUUAGAGUCAAUGAUAUUAGUGGUUGGGUGCUUAUUUCAACUGAGGAAAAGCAUCCUACCGGACAUUUACAGCAUAAAUAGAAGUUCAUUUAACUUAGUGAUAAACUAAGCACUAUAACAUUUUGAGCCAGAUAAAUCUUUCCUGUGGGGGCUACCCUAUGCAUUGUGGAUGGUUAGCAGCAUCCCUAGGCAUUGUGGGAUGGUUAGCAGCAUCCCUAGCCUCUACCCACGAGAUGCCAGUGGUGACAAUGAAAAAUGUCUCCAGAGGUUGCCAAAUGUCCCUGGGGGUAGGAGUGGGAAACAACCUCAGCUGAGAACCACUGAAUUAAGACAAAAACAUAUAGUAGAUUAAUUUAUUUAGCAAAUCUUCCUCAUGCUAGAUUUUCAGAAACAACAAAAACAACAGAGGAUUCCAGCUCAAAGAACCUUACAGUUUUAGGCAAACACAAAUAUAUUGCAAUGUCAUAAGUGUUGUUAAAAAAUAUUGAAUGAAAUUCUAUGGAGGUAACUAACUUUUCCUAGGGUAGCUGAUGAAGAUUUCUCACAAGAGCUGACAUUGGACUCUCCAAAAAAAGAAGAAAAGGAAGGAUAUUUGUUGCAUGUGCAAAGUCUAAAGAGCUCAGAGAAGUUGCCAGGUAGAGGAGACUCACCUGUUAAGCGUGGGCCCAGGCAGGCUCACAGACAAUUAACUAGCAAGAAUGUCAACAGUUAACAUUUCUUUCAUGUUUUAAAUCUACCUGGCACGUAGCUGGGAGAGGAUGAGACUCACCCCACGGUAGUGAUUCAUUGAUUGAUAUUUCCUGUGUAC